UUGAACGGAUGACUUAGUGGCGGACGGGUGAGUAACGCGUGAGGAACCUGCCUUUCAGUGGGGGACAACAGUUGGAAACGACUGCUAAUACCGCAUGAUGUGUUCGGAUGGCAUCAUCUGAAUGUCAAAGAUUUAUCGCUGAAAGAUGGCCUCGCGUCUGAUUAGCUAGUUGGUGAGGUAACGGCCCACCAAGGCGACGAUCAGUAGCCGGACUGAGAGGUUGAACGGCCACAUUGGGACUGAGAUACGGCCCAGACUCC
rnacentral:rRNA from 2 species